rnacentral:lncRNA from 1 species
GAAAAAACUAUUGAUAUACAUAAUACAUUAGAUGGGUCUCAAGGUCAUUCAUUAUACUUUAGAUGGGUCUCAAGGUCAAAGAGCCCAUUUUGAGAGGUCACAUGUUACACUAUUCAACUUACGUAACAGUCUCAAAAUGACAAAAUAACAGCGAUGGAGAACAGGUCAGUGAUUGUGGGGGUUAGGUUUGGAGGAGGGUGACUGUGCAGGGCAGCACGUGGGAUUUUCUUUGAGGUAUGGAACAGUUCUAUAUCCUGACUGUAGUGGCCAUUAUGCAAAUCUACACAUGUAAUAAAAUUUUUUGGAACUAUACAGCAACAACAAAAUCACCAUGUAGAGAAGAUUUAACAGGAUAAUUAAAUCAAUGGGAUUUUGGCUCAGGUCUAAGUGUGUCCUUAAAGCCCCAAAAUACUCGGUUGCUAUUCCCUCUGGGAACUUGAAUACAUAAACUCAGCAAGGGGAGAAUCCUUACAUUCCAUCCUGACCCACAGAGUGAGGGCUGUAAUGGCAGGAAGGCCAAGGAGAAGCCAGGACACCUGCCUCCACCUCCUGAAAUACGACACCGAAGGCAACAUCCCAUUUCUAGAGGGACUGAGAGAUUCAUACCACAACUAAGACCUUGACAGAGAUAGUGAAAGCUGCACAUCAGCCCAGGAAAGCCAACAUUCCUCUCCUGCACUGAUAUAAUUCCAGCCAAAGGAAAGAAACUUGACAUGUGGUCAGCUCUUCAAAGGCCACAGCAAAGGGAAAGUGUCACAUCUUUCAAUUUGCCUCAGAAAAGCCUGUGGGAAGUGGGGAGGGGGUUGCAGUCUGCAGAUGGGAGAGCCAUGACAAACCGUUCCAGCAAUGCUACCAAUGGGAUUGCAACCCAGUCUUCAGCAGAGCCAGGGAUGCAAGGAAGAGGGGAAAGAAUAGGUGGAGAGGUGGGGAGCACAUGGACUCGCCUUCAUGGGUACUAGGGGACGUCGUGUGGCAUUCUGAGUCUGAUCCUUCCUGAAACAACGCGAAUGAAGAACUGCACACAACUCAACAGAGAAGAGAGCUGCCCUAGAAAGCUUUGGGUUAAGUGACAUCAGGGAUAGGUCCUGCCAUCCUCUGUCCAGUUGGUGUCAUCAGCAAAGUUUGGGCAACGUUACAGAAAACCUACAGAAGACAGUCACCCCAGCCUCAGCUGGUCAGGACUCUAUAGUGGGAAGUGAACAAAAAAGAGUUUAUCCCAUGGCUCACCUCCUGGGAAUAAUGACAAAGAUGAUGAUAACAAUGGGGGCAUCGGCAUGAAGCAAGAGACUUCCAUGCCUGAUUUUACUCUGUUGUUAAUUAAGUUUGUAAUUCUGAGUCUACAGUGUCACCAUUCUUGGCUUAGUUUGCAUCUUGUAAAAGAAGAACGCUGAGGCAUAGGGUGUCCUUGGCAAAGAUGCGGAUGUCCACUGAGGUCUGCGUGCCCCUUCCCCUCUGUGGACUAGCUGCUGCCCAGCCAGAGACUACACUUCCCAGACCCCCCUGUGAUUUGUUCUCAGCAAUGGAAUGAUGAGCAGGAGUAAUUGGAGCACUUCCAGACCAAAAGGGACAAAAAACAGAUGCAUCUUUUCCAAACUCUCUUCUAUAUCCUGGCAGGAUGUUGGAAUCCACAGCAACCUUGGAAACCACAUGCCCAGAGCCCCCAUCCUUCAGCCUGUGUCCCCAAACACCCAUACAGAGUGAGCGCAGACCAGGACUUGAUAUGAAUGAGAAAUAGCCCCUCAUUAUGUUCAACUAGUGACAUUCUAAGGUCUCUCCAUCAAAGCAGCCUUUAAGCUUCAAGUUUAUGACUAACAAUUUACAAAUACUUUCUUGUUAAUAUUUUUAACUUAACUUGACCUAGAGAAUGACAACCAUGGGAAAUAAGUCAGAUAUUUUUCUCAUUUUACAAAUAAAAACCUGAAGCUAAAAUGCUGAAAUUGUUCCCCAAAGUCAUUGACAAGCAGCAGAGCCAGGAGGCAGGAGCAGGGUCUUGGAUUAGGUUUGAGUGCAAGAAAUAGGGUGGUGCCGGCAUUCAUACCACAGGGCUCUGGGUGUCAUCGUGGGCCUACCUGGGACUGCCUCCGUGAUUUUAAGGAAUUGUUUAAUUUCCCUCAGGACCGUUUCUUGGAUAAUAAACAGGGAACAAUAGGCCAUGUCAAUCAUGUAAAGUUGUUGUAAAGAUAAGGGAAGGCCGGGCAUGAUGGUGCAUGCCUAUAAUCCCAACACUUUGGGAGACCAAGGCGAGAGGAUCACUAGAGCCCAGGAGUAGAAGGUUGCAGUGAGCUAUGACUGUACCACUGCACUCCAGCCUGGGUGACAGAGCGAGGCUCACACUUACUGAACAUCUACCACAGACCAAGCACUGUUCCACCAUCUUGAAUCUAUUGACUCAUUGACUCAUCCAACCACCCUACAAGUUAUAUCAAGUUAUAUCCUCCCUAUUUUCAAGAUGAUGAAAUUAGGAAAAGUUAAGUAAUUUCUCCAACAAUGCAUAUCCUUAGCCUGGAUUCUCCAGAGAGCCAAGAGGGAGGAAGGGAGGGUGGGAUCCGCCCCAAGCUGGUUAUCACUAAAUGCAUCUUCUUGACCUGGUCAGACUGUCCGCCUAGAAGCUUCUUAAGGUGUGACUAAUGACUGUGAGUCUGGGGCAGGAGGAUGCCUGGGUAUGAGCGCUGAGUAGGGUCCCCAGGAAGCCCCAGGGCAGAAGAUAAGAGGAGCCCAAGUGAGCCUGAGGCGGGGCACGGCCAGGCUGACUGCUGGAGUCAGUGGGAGUCUGUGCAGAGCUGGUCGCCACCUCUGAGGCUGGCACAAGAGACAGGCGAACUCGAAAAAGCAUGCAGUCGGGCAAAGUCGGGUAUGUUACAAGCCUACGAUGUCAUGGGGCUAGUCUUUCUCUCCUUGUGUGAAAGACGUGGUUCCCAUUCCUGACCAACCACAGGGAGGCAUGCAUUGUGAGCUAGUUAGCUCCUGGUGGGAACAGGCUUACACAAAUCCACACAUAUGUUCUGUUCCAGUCUACGGCCAAUGCCUGUCUUGGAGGAAGAAACGACCCAAGUACAGGGAAGCUGCAGCUUUCUGCUCAGGACUGCCAGCAUGUGGAGCUUCCAGGUCUAGGGUGGAUGAGACACAUCCCCAGGGAACUCCCUCUGGCUAGAUGAUUGAAGAUGUUAACGAUGCAUAUAGUUGCACCCAGCCAUGCUCACCAGGGGAGAAAAAUGCUGCUGCCCCCACCAAGCAAG